AACAAUCAGAUGCUAUUUACACCAGCCCCAUUGUUUGCUGUGAAGCGGGAGGGGGGACCCAGUUCUGAGGACUCUUGUUUGUUGGGAUCGAAAUGCCACAGCCACCAGUUAGGCCAAGUCUAUGGAGGAGCCAAGGCCAGGGAGGAAGAGAGAGCCACGUGUGAGAUAGAAGAGGAAGAGACACAUGGGAGGCAGAGAGCCUGUUAAAUACUCAAUUGUGAUCAAGCCCAGGUGGAGACUCAGGUGGAGAAACUGAGGCUCAGAGACAUUGUGAGUUGCAUCACAUAAUGGAUAAUGGAUGAAACAUCUACCUGAUACCAGCCAUCACACACAAGCAUGCCGAAGCCCUGUGUUGGAAUGGAUGGCUCCUGCCUGGGGGCCAUCAUUAUUCCCUCGCCACUUGCCUCAGCAAACCUUGGGGACACUGAAGGCUCCAGUGAGUAGCUUUUCUGACUUUAGUUUCUCAUUGUCGGUCCCUGGAGUCAGGCUGGAGGCCAGCCUGGAGUCUGUGAUUUGUCGAUGUUGUCUCUUUCUGAAUCCUUCAGGAAAGGUGGGAAGGUAUUGUCCAUCCCUGACUUCAAUGUCAAAACCAAAAGAAGUAAUUCCUAUAAAAUGGCCAGGGAAGGGAUCAGGGGAGCAGUGGGAGAGAGAUUAAAGGAUUAAGAGAAAAGCACAGAAAAAUGCUUAAAACACCCAACUGUUUGCUUACUGGCUGCUAGGCAAG
rnacentral:lncRNA from 1 species